GGGGCGGGGAGACUCUGGAUAGCGAGAGGCUCUGGAGUGACCCAGCCUCUUCAUACCACAG
rnacentral:miRNA from 14 species